rnacentral:rRNA from 1 species
CUUUACUGCAGCUUCGCAGUGGCGCCAGGAAGGGACUGUGUAGGAUAGGUGGGAGGCUUUGAAGCCGGGGCGCUAGCCUUGGUGGAGCCAACCUUGAAAUACCACCCUGUGCCUUUCUGGCGUCUAACCGCAUCCCGUAAUCCGGGAUCGGGACCCUGCGUGGUGGGCAGUUUGACUGGGGCGGUCGCCUCCCAAACUGUAACGGAGGCGCGCGAUGGUGGGCUCAGGCCGGUCGGACAUCGGCUGUUGAGUGCAAAGGCACAAGCCCGCCUGACUGCGAGCGCGACAGCGCGAGCAGAGACGAAAGUCGGCCUUAGUGAUCCGGUGGCCCCGCGUGGAAGGGCCAUCGCUCAACGGAUAAAAGGUA